ensembl:rRNA 5S_rRNA 5S ribosomal RNA
GUCUAUUGCCAUACUACCCUGAACGCGCCCAAUCUCGUCGCUCUCGGAAGCUAAUCAGAGUCGGGCCUGGUUACUACUUGGAUGGGAGACUAUCUGGGAAUAUUGCGUGCUGUGGGCU